rnacentral:rRNA from 1 species
CCUACGGGAGGCAGCAGUGGGGAAUUUUGGACAAUGGGCGCAAGCCUGAUCCAGCUAUUCCGCGUGUGGGAUGACGGCCCUCGGGUUGUAAACCACUUUAGUAGAGAACGAAAAGGAGCUAUCGAAUAAAUAGCUCUGCUGACGGUACUCUAAGAAAAAGCAUCGGCUAACUCCGUGCCAGCAGCCGCGGUAAUACGGAGGAUGCGAGCGUUAUCCGGAUUUAUUGGGUUUAAAGGGUGCGUAGGCGGAAUAUUAAGUCAGCGGUAAAAAUUCGGGGCUCAACCCCGUCGUGCCGUUGAAACUGAUGUUCUUGAGUGGGCGAGAAGUAUGCGGAAUGCGUGGUGUAGCGGUGAAAUGCAUAGAUAUCACGCAGAACUCCGAUUGCGAAGGCAGCAUACCGGCGCCCAACUGACGCUGAAGCACGAAAGCGUGGGUAUCGAACAGGAUUAGAUACCCGGGUAGUC